rnacentral:misc_RNA from 1 species
GAUCAUUACUGAGUUUACGCUCUACAACCCUUUGUGAACAUACCUAUAACUGUUGCUUCGGCGGGUAGGGUCUCCGUGACCCUCCCGGCCUCCCGCCCCCGGGCGGGUCGGCGCCCGCCGGAGGAUAACCAAACUCUGAUUUAACGACGUUUCUUCUGAGUGGUACAAGCAAAUAAUCAAAACUUUUAACAACGGAUCUCUUGGUUCUGGCAUCGAUGAAGAACGCAGCGAAAUGCGAUAAGUAAUGUGAAUUGCAGAAUUCAGUGAAUCAUCGAAUCUUUGAACGCACAUUGCGCCCGCCAGCAUUCUGGCGGGCAUGCCUGUUCGAGCGUCAUUUCAACCCUCAAGCUCUGCUUGGUGUUGGGGCCCUACAGCUGAUGUAGGCCCUCAAAGGUAGUGGCGGACCCUCCCGGAGCCUCCUUUGCGUAGUAACUUUACGUCUCGCACUGGGAUCCGGAGGGACUCUUGCCGUAAAACCCCCAAUUUUCCAAAGGUUGACCUCGGAUCAGGUAGGAAUACCCGCUGAACUUAAGCAUAUCAAUAAGCGGAGGAAAAGAAACCAACAGGGAUUGCCUCAGUAACGGCGAGUGAAGCGGCAACAGCUCAAAUUUGAAAUCUGGCCCUAGGCCCGAGUUGUAAUUUGCAGAGGAUGCUUUUGGUGCGGUGCCUUCCAAGUUCCCUAGAACGGGACGCCAGAGAGGGUGAGAGCCCCGUACAGUUGGACACCAAGCCUUUGUAAAGCUCCUUCGACGAGUCGAGUAGUUUGGGAAUGCUGCUCAAAAUGGGAGGUAUAUUUCUUCUAAAGCUAAAUACCGGCCAGAGACCGAUAGCGCACAAGUAGAGUGAUCGAAAGAUGAAAAGCACUUUGAAAAGAGGGUUAAACAGCACGUGAAAUUGUUAAAAGGGAAGCGCUUGUGACCAGACUUGCGUCCGGUGAAUCACCCAGCUCUCGCGGCUGGGGCACUUCGCCGGCUCAGGCCAGCAUCAGCUCGCUGUCGGGGACAAAAGCUUCAGGAACGUAGCUCUCUUCGGGGAGUGUUAUAGCCUGUUGCAUAAUACCCUUCGGCGGGCUGAGGUACGC